rnacentral:rRNA from 1 species
UACAGAGACUGCAAGCGUUGUUCGGAUUCAUUGGGCGUAAAGGGCGUGCAGGCGGUUUGUUAAGUGCAGGGUGAAAGCUCCCGGCUCAACUGGGAGAGGUCCUUGCAUACUGGCGAACUCGAGGGAGGCAGAGGAAAGUGGAAUUCCCGGUGUAGUGGUGAUAUGCGUAGAUAUUGGGAGGAACACCUGCGGCGAAGGCGGCUACCUGGACAGAAACUGACGCUGAGGCGCGAAAGCUAGGGGAGCGAACGGU